UAAAAUUAAAAAAUUUAGGCGGUAUUUUAGUCUUUUCAGAGGAACCUGUUCUAUAAUUGAUAGUCCACGAUUAAUUUUACUUGUUUUAUAAAUUUAUAUAUCGUCGUAGUUUGAAUGUUUUAUAAAAAAUUGAAUGUUCAAGAUUUUAUUAUAAAAAAAAAUCAGAUCAAGGUGUAGUUAAUAGAUAAGAAGAAAUGGGUUACAAUUAAAUUAUUAUUGGAUAAAUUUAUGAAUAUGAAUUUUGAAAAAGGAUUUGAAAGUAAUUUUAAAUAUUUUUUAAAAUGAUUUGAGCUCUAAAAUAUGCACAUAUUGCCCGUCGCUCUCAUUUUAAGAUGAGAUAAGUCGUAACAAAGUAGAUUUACUGGAAAGUGAAUCUAGAAG
rnacentral:rRNA from 1 species